GUUAUGGUAUAUUGUUUGGGGACUAUUCAAGGCUGGUUCUGGAAUUUUAUUGGAAGAGAUAUUGAUGGGUUGACUAUUUGCAAUGGCAAUCAGGUUAGUUAACAUGGAGUGCUAAUCGAAAUGAAUUUCUUGACCACUGUAUAAUGUAGUCUGUAGGAGAGUGGCAAGGCCGACACAUACCUUAGUUAUUAGGUGUGAGAUACAUCUCCAUUCUAUAAAGUUUUUUCUCUUCUUUGGUAAGGUCUUUUACUAUUAGGCCAACAAGAAGUGCAGGCUGCACGCCGCGAGCACUGAGCGCAGUCGAUGAGCUCGCCGCCUGUUGAAACUCCGUUGCUGAACAUGUAUGGUGACCUUAAUAUAUAUCUCACAAACUACAUCAUGAUUGGUCUCCGCCCUUGGAAGCCCUUGGGAAGUCAUCACACGAGGCAUCUCAUCUAUCCUUAGCAUCAGCAUAGCAAGGUACAUAAAUUCCUGUAUCCUAUUUUCUCUAAUCUAAUUCAUUUAAUCUUAAGAAUUUUGAAGGGCAUCGACAGAAAGGAUUUCCCACUUCAUAUUGAACCGAUAGCCAUUCAGAUUUAUAUUCAACAAUUUGUGCCGCUGCAGUUCAAUUUUUGCAGCUUUUAAAUUUGUGUACGCAAGUUGUUUGACGUAAGUCCGACUAGGCUACAGAUGAUUGUUACUGAAUGAAUAUGUGAAUGACUUUCUUUGCAUAUUUUUUAAUUUUGGAGUUGAUGUAGUUCCUCAAGGAUAGACUAAUUCAUAGUUUUCUCAUUCAGGUCUAGCAUAGUUCAUUCUAUCAUUGGCAUUCAUAGAUUAUUUUGUGCUUGGGAUGCCAUAUAAGUUACCGUGGGAUUACUAUUUUGUGGGUCGAUAAAAUCCUUUGAAAAUAACGUCAUGGAAAGAAGAAGCAUCCCUGGAAUAUCUCUGUUCUCUCCCUUAAAGUUUUCUCAAACUAUCUAAUACCCCGUGAAAUGAAUCUCAACUAUUUAAUUUUCAUAUUUUUUAUCAGUGAAGCAUUAUUAUUAUAUUCGUUUUUAUAUCAUAUGUCACUUGUGAUGUUUGAAACUCUAUAAUAUUUGGCUGAUGUCCUAACUUUGCUUUCUUAGGACGAUGAAGUGGGUUUGAGCCAAGACCUCUAAUGAUGUUUCUAAUUCUCUUUCUUCAAGUGCCUUCAUCUGGUGGACAUAAGUAGUCUUAGUAUUGUACCUGGUAUUGAUAUCCAG
rnacentral:lncRNA from 1 species